ACGUAGGGGGCGAGCGUUAUUCGGAAUUACUGGGUGUAAAGGGUAUGUAGGCGGCCCUUCAAGUCGCGUGUCAAAGUCCAGUGCUCAACGCUGGGAGUGCACGCGAUACUGACGGGCUUGAGGGCUGGAGAGGUAAGCGGAAUUCCCGGUGUAGUGGUAAAAUGCGUAGAUAUCAGGAGGAACACCAGCGGCGCAGGCGGCUCACUGGACUGUAUCUGACACUGAGAUACGAAAGCGUGGGGAGCAAACAG
rnacentral:rRNA from 1 species